GGAAGGCAGCCGGAUACGGUUGGCCGGGCCUCGGUGCUAACGAGGUUGCCCUUCCGGGCAUGAGGGUUCGAAUCCCUCGCCUUCCGC
rnacentral:tRNA from 1 species